ncrna:length=1829
AUAUGGUAGGAGAGCGUUCUGUAAGCCUGCGAAGGUGUCUUGUAAAGGAUGCUGGAGGUAUCAGAAGUGCGAAUGCUGACAUGAGUAGCGAUAAUGCGGGUGAAAAGCCCGCACGCCGUAAGCCCAAGGUUUCCUGUUCAACGUUCAUCGGAGCAGGGUGAGUCGGCCCCUAAGGCGAGGCAGAGAUGCGUAGCUGAUGGGAAGCAGGUUAAUAUUCCUGCACCGUCGUAUGAUGCGAUGGGGGGACGGAUCGCGGAAGGUUGUCUAGCUGUUGGAAUAGCUAGUUUUUGACUCAUAGAAGGUGCUUAGGCAAAUCCGGGCACGUAAUUCAAGGGGUCGAGACGAGCGCUCAUGUAGCGCGAAGCAAUCGGAAGUGGUUCCAAGAAAAGCCUCUAAGCUUCAGUCAUACGAGACCGUACCGCAAACCGACACAGGUGGGCGAGAUGAGUAUUCUAAGGCGCUUGAGAGAACUCGGGAGAAGGAACUCGGCAAAUUGGUACCGUAACUUCGGGAUAAGGUACGCCCUAGUAGUUUGACCACUUUACUGUGGAAGGAUGAACGGGUUGCAAUAAAAUGGUGGCUGCGACUGUUUAAUAAAAACACAGCACUCUGCAAACACGAAAGUGGACGUAUAGGGUGUGACGCCUGCCCGGUGCUGGAAGAUUAAAUGANNNNNNNNNNNNNNNNNNNNNNNNNNNNNNNNNNNNNNNNNNCGGCGGCCGUAACUAUAACGGUCCUAAGGUAGCGAAAUUCCUUGUCGGGUAAGUUCCGACCUGCACGAAUGGCGUAACGAUGGCCACACUGUCUCCUCCCGAGACUCAGCGAAGUUGAAAUGUUUGUGAUGAUGCAAUCUACCCGCGGCUAGACGGAAAGACCCCAUGAACCUUUACUGUAGCUUUGCAUUGGACUUUGAAUCAAUCUGUGUAGGAUAGGUGGGAGGCUUUGAAGCGGGGACGCCAGUUCCCGUGGAGCCAUCCUUGAAAUACCACCCUGGUUCAUUUGAGGUUCUAACCUUGGUCCGUUAUCCGGAUCGGGGACAGUGCAUGGUAGGCAGUUUGACUGGGGCGGUCUCCUCCUAAAGUGUAACGGAGGAGUUCGAAGGUACGCUAGGUACGGUCGGACAUCGUGCUAAUAGUGCAAUGGCAUAAGCGUGCUUAACUGCGAGACCGACAAGUCGAGCAGGUACGAAAGUAGGACAUAGUGAUCCGGUGGUUCUGUAUGGAAGGGCCAUCGCUCAACGGAUAAAAGGUACUCUGGGGAUAACAGGCNUCGAGCAGGUACGAAAGUAGGACAUAGUGAUCCGGUGGUUCUGUAUGGAAGGGCCAUCGCUCAACGGAUAAAAGGUACUCUGGGGAUAACAGGCUGAUUCCUCCCAAGAGUUCAUAUCGACGGGGGAGUUUGGCACCUCGAUGUCGGCUCAUCACAUCCUGGGGCUGUAGCCGGUCCCAAGGGUAUGGCUGUUCGCCAUUUAAAGUGGUACGUGAGCUGGGUUUAAAACGUCGUGAGACAGUUUGGUCCCUAUCUGCCGUGGGCGUUGGAAAUUUGAAGGGGGCUGCUCCUAGUACGAGAGGACCGGAGUGGACGAACCUCUGGUGUACCGGUUGUCACGCCAGUGGCAUUGCCGGGUAGCUAAGUUCGGAAGAGAUAACCGCUGAAAGCAUCUAAGCGGGAAACUUGCCUUGAGAUGAGAUUUCCCGGAGCCUUGAGCUCCUUGAAGGGUCGUUCGAGACCAGGACGUUGAUAGGCUGGGUGUGGAAGUGCAGUAAUGCAUUAAGCUAACCAGUACUAAUUGCCCGUACGGCUUGUCCCU